rnacentral:snRNA from 1 species
GUGCUAGCUUUGGCAGCACAUAUACUAAGAUUAUAACAAUACAGAGAAGAUCAGCAUGGCCCCUGUACAGGAUAACACACAAUU